UGGGGAAUUUUGGACAAUGGGGGAAACCCUGAUCCAGCCAUCCCGCGUGUGCGAUGAAGGCCUUCGGGUUGUAAAGCACUUUUGGCAGGAAAGAAACGUCAUGGGUUAAUACCCCGUGAAACUGACGGUACCUGCAGAAUAAGCACCGGCUAACUACGUGCCAGCAGCCGCGGUAAUACGUAGGGUGCAAGCGUUAAUCGGAAUUACUGGGCGUAAAGCGUGCGCAGGCGGGUCGGAAAGAAAGAUGUGAAAUCCCAGAGCUCAACUUUGGAACUGCAUUUUUAACUACCGGGCUAGAGUGUGUCAGAGGGAGGUGGAAUUCCGCGUGUAGCAGUGAAAUGCGUAGAUAUGCGGAGGAACACCGAUGGCGAAGGCAGCCUCCUGGGAUAACACUGACGCUCAUGCGCGAAAGCGUGGGGAGCAAACAGG
rnacentral:rRNA from 1 species